GGGGGGCGAAGCAGCCGCGGCCUCUGGCUUGGACCCCGUGGCGCUGUCGGCCCCCGCGGAGGCAGGGGUUGGCUCGUCUUCAACUCAGCUGGACAGCCGGAGGCCGGAGACGGAGCACGGUCAGGCGGGCGGGGUGCAGUGCCAGCCUCAGUCGCAGAGCGGCUUCCUUU
rnacentral:SRP_RNA from 1 species